rnacentral:lncRNA from 1 species
GGAAUAAAUUAUUUUUGUUAAGGCAAGCAUUGGUGUGUUCUUUAACUUGCUACUUGGAGACCUAGUGUCCAGUCUGGACAGAAUGCACAGAGACCAGCCUCACCUGGAAUGCAGCCAGACUCGAUGUCCCUCAGCACACACAGCUCCUGGCCACAGACUGCCCAUAGAACUGUCUGCACCCAAACCCCAUGGCCUUUUCAUGCACGGAGACAGGCCUCUGGAUGUGCAGCCUUGCCACCCCCUGCCCCAAUCCUCCCUGAGAGCUCCUGCCUCAGUGCCCUGGGCUGGUGAGGGAGAAGCCUGUCUGCACCUGCCUAAUUCCAGCUCCUCCAGGAAGCAAGGGCUUGUUUGUCAGAGCUGCAGGGUUGGCCACUCGGUGGGGAGGAGUCAGCCAGGAUUAGAGAGCCUGCCCCUAAUCCGGCCUGCUGGGUUUUACAAGGAUCAGAGCUGCUGAUAAUGAACCUCAUUAAGGGGGAGCAGGAGCCUCAAUCCGAUUUGGUUUUCUCUUUGACAUCUUCACUCUGCUCAGAUGGCCUGGGUGCUAUGUGGAGCAGGUGGGAUGCCAAGGCCACUCCUGCUAUGGGGCAGCUGGGGCUGGGGAGGGAUGGCAGUCUCCCUGCAUGUUUCCCUCGACCUCUUUAGCUGCAGCGCCUUGCUGGGCUCCUGGGUUGGACUCCCUCUCUGUGCCCCUGCUCCAGGCACCCAUUGGCUCCAUCCUCCUGGUUGUGCUCUGCACCCCCUGCUCCCUUGGGCUGGCCCUGGCUGGGGGCCUGAGAGACAGACAGGAACCCACAAUCAGGAGGCAACCCUGGCCUGCAAGAGGAAGACAGAGGCUCCCAGGGCCGGUGCCCUGUGUGCCCACUGCACCAAGGCCGCUGAAUAAGCCUGCCCUUCACCCCCUAAGGGCUCCUUGCCCAAUGCCAAGUGCUGGGGAUUUCUGUCAGCAAGCCCUGUGGCUCCAGUGACGGUAUUUCUAAAGCCAAACUUAGUUACCUAGAAUUAGCGCCAUGUUGGAAACACUGUCGCAGCAGCCCGGGCUGCACAGUGUGUAGCCCAGCCUCCAGGUCCACGGAGUGGUGUGGACCUCCCACCUCACAGCUGCCUCUGGCAGCCAAGCCUCUUUUCGCCCGGCCCCAGCCCCUCUGGUUGAUAAACGGGUGGGCCUCCUCAGCAGCGUGGCUGCCUUUCACCUUGAUUUCCCCAGGGCUCUCGGCAACAUCGAUAAACCAGCCUCGCCCACCAGCUGGGCCCUCCCCCACCCAGUCUGCCAGGCUGGGAGCUGGAGCUUGCUGAGUCUUGAAUGCCCUUCUAGAUGGCUUCUCUAGAGGCUCUCCUGGCAAGAGAGGGUCCCAAGGGGAGCCCUGCAAAGCAAAGGCUCCUUGUCUGGGGCGGGAUAGAGAAUCUCGCCUCUGUCUGGUGUGUUACCUACUGGGGGCACAGGAACAAUUUCCUCAAGGAGACAGUGGCAUGGAGCUUUGAAAGACGAGUAGGUGUUAGCAAGGAAAUAAGGAGGAACGGGGGUUACGGGCAGAGGAGAAAGCACAUGCCAAGUCAGCAAAGAAAAGUAGAAUUCGAAAACUUUUUAAAAAUAUUACUAAGGAUUUUCACAAUGCUGCACUGGGCUAGAAACUGAAGCUAAAACAGAUACGUGGUCCCUGCUGCUAUGGGGCUUCCGUUCUAGAGGCAAGGACAGGUUGUGAUGAGGGUUCUGAAGGAUAGAGACCAAGCAGGGAGGGUGUUGAGGAGGCUUCUGCGAGACCUGAAGGAUGGGAAGCCAGGAAGUGGGAGGGGUGGGGGUCCAGGCUGGAGGGGCCCAAUGUAGGUGUAGAGGGACUACAGCCCUGAGGGGCUGCUCCAUGCGGCAUUCUUGGAGGUCCAAGAGGGGCAGCGCCACCUUGGGCCAGGCUCCUCUCCAGCAGCCUUGGUAUGGGGUGGGGGUGGGAAGACCCCUGAUGCAGCCUGUCCUCUGGGUGUGGGGGUGGAGGAGAGGGCUCCAGGGGACCCAGCCAGCCUUGACCCUGGAGGAAAGUCAGGUGGGCUCAGAGAGAGCCCUCAAAUCUGGGCCCUGGGUCAGGGUGGGGUCAAGUCCAGCCUUGAAGAGAAUGGACUCUGGAAUCUGACGUCUGGGUUUGAAUCCAGCUUCCAACACUCACUGGCUGUGUGACUUUGGGCAAGAUAACUUAUCCCCUUGUCCCCAUGUGUCAUUGGAGAUAAACUACCCACCUACCAGAUUGUUGUACCAUGCUGGGCAAACACUAAGUGCUUAAUAAUGGUAGCCCACUGCUCAUGUCGUGUCGUCUCCUGUCUUGAUACCUGAAAACUCAAGGGGCCCUGUUGUGCUUGGAGGGGGGUGCCGUUCCCACAGGAUAUUCUGUGAAGGGUGUCCCUGGAGCUGGGCCUCCAGGUGGCAAGCCCCAAGCCACCCCGGCAGGUGCCACUGGCCAGAGUUGAACUGAGGUGUUGAGUGGAAAGUGCCUCCCCACCCCCAUCUGCCACAGUAGUAUGGAUUUCCUUCAUGAGAUGGGGCUCCUAAAAUGCCUGAAAUGUGUAUGCUGUUGGAGAAUUGAUGUGUAUGAUUUAUUGAACUUUGCACUCAUUUAAAUCUCAUUUAAUCCUCCAACAACGCAAGAUGAAGAAGCUGAGGCUUAAAGAGAUUAAGAAACAUCCUAUCCCCUUUACUCCCACCAAAAUAAAUACAUUUGCCCUAUUCUCCCAA